rnacentral:rRNA from 1 species
AUUGAACGCUGGCGGCAGGCUUAACACAUGCAAGUCGAGCGGAGUGAUGGUGCUUGCACUAUCACUUAGCGGCGGACGGGUGAGUAAUGCUUAGGAAUCUGCCUAUUAGUGGGGGACAACAUCUCGAAAGGGAUGCUAAUACCGCAUACGUCCUACGGGAGAAAGCAGGGGAUCACUUGUGACCUUGCGUUAAUAGAUGAGCCUAAGUCGGAUUAGCUAGUUGGUGGGGUAAAGGCCUACCAAGGCGACGAUCUGUAGCGGGUCUGAGAGGAUGAUCCGCCACACUGGGACUGAGACACGGCCCAGACUCCUACGGGAGGCAGCAGUGGGGAAUAUUGGACAAUGGGGGGAACCCUGAUCCAGCCAUGCCGCGUGUGUGAAGAAGGCCUUAUGGUUGUAAAGCACUUUAAGCGAGGAGGAGGCUCUUUUGGUUAAUACCCAAGAUGAGUGGACGUUACUCGCAAAAUAAGCACCGGCUAACUCUGUGCCAGCCGCCGCGGUAA